AUGAAUACCACUAACGUAUACCAUUUCUAAUUGUAGUGGUACAUGGAUAUGCUUUCCUCUCAGGCUAGUCGGUGUAUUGUGAUGGCCAGUUCCUCCUCCAUCUUGGGAAAAUGGGAAAUCAGGUCCUGCAACGAACCACACGGCUUCAUCUGUCAGCGUAAAGUUGACUCAGGCAUCCCAGUCCCGACACCGACAGUGUUACCUAGAGGCUGGGUGAAGCU